rnacentral:rRNA from 1 species
AAUGAACGCUGGCGGCAUGGAUUAGGCAUGCAAGUCGAACGUGAUUCUUUUCUUCGGAGAAGAUGAAAGUGGCGAAAGGGUGAGUAACACGUGAGCAACCUGCCCCCGAAUUCGGGAUAGCCCCGGGAAACCGGGAUUAAUACCGGACGUGGUUUUCCGUCGCAUGGCGGAAGGACCGAAGGUCCGCCGUUCGGGGAUGGGCUCGCGUCCCAUUAGCUAGUUGGCGGGGUAACGGCCCACCAAGGCGAUGACGGGUAGCUGGUCUGAGAGGAUGGUCAGCCACACUGGGACUGAGACACUGCCCAGACUCCUACGGGAGGCUG